rnacentral:piRNA from 1 species
UGGCACGUUCCUACACUUGUGCUGG